rnacentral:rRNA from 1 species
AGAACGAACGCUGGCGGCAGGCUUAACACAUGCAAGUCGAACGCCCUCGCAAGGGGGAGUGGCAGACGGGUGAGUAACACGUGGGAACAUACCCUUCGGUUCGGAACAACGCCGGGAAACUGGCGCUAAUACCGGAUACGGCUUUUGAGCGAAAGAUUUAUCGCCGAAGGAUUGGCCCGCGUUCGAUUAGCUUGUUGGUGAGGUAACGGCUCACCAAGGCGACGAUCGAUAGCUGGUCUGAGGGGAUGGCCAGCCACAUUGGGACUGAGACACGGCCCAAACUCCUACGGGAGGCAGCAGUGGGGAAUAUUGGACAAUGGGCGCAAGCCUGAUCCAGCCAUGCCGCGUGAGUGAUGACGGCCUUAGGGUUGUAAAGCUCUUUCGCACGCGACGAUAAUGACGGUAGCGUGAGAAGAAGCCCCGGCUAACUUCGCGCCAGCAGCCGC